AUAGCCCGAGAGAGCCGCAGUGAAUAGGCCCAGGCGACUGUUUAGCAAAAACACAGGUCUCUGCAAAACCGUAAGGUGACGUAUAGGGGCUGACGCCUGCCCGGUGCUGGAAGGUUAAGGGGAGUGCUUAGCGCAAGCGAAGGUGCGAACCGAAGCCCCAGUAAACGGCGGCCGUAACUAUAACGGUCCUAAGGUAGCGAAAUUCCUUGUCGGGUAAGUUCCGACCCGCACGAAAGGCGUAACGAUCUGGGCACUGUCUCAACGAGAGACUCGGUGAAAUUAUAGUACCUGUGAAGAUGCAGGUUACCCGCGACAGGACGGAAAGACCCCGUGGAGCUUUACUGUAGCCUGAUAUUGAAUUUUGGUGCAACUUGUACAGGAUAGGUAGGAGCCAGAGAACCCGGAGCGCCAGCUUCGGGGGAGGCGUCGGUGGGAUACUACCCUGGUUGUAUUGAACUUCUAACCCGCACCCCUGAUCGGGGUGGGAGACAGUGUCAGGCGGGCAGUUUGACUGGGGCGGUCGCCUCCUAAAGAGUAACGGAGGCGCCCAAAGGUUCCCUCAGAAUGGUUGGAAAUCAUUCGCAGAGUGUAAAGGCAGAAGGGAGCUUGACUGCGAGACGUACAGGUCGAGCAGGGUCGAAAGACGGGCUUAGUGAUCCGGUGGUUCCGCAUGGAAGGGCCAUCGCUCAACGGAUAAAAGCUACCCCGGGGAUAACAGGCUUAUCUCCCCCAAGAGUCCACAUCGACGGGGAGGUUUGGCACCUCGAUGUCGGCUCAUCGCAUCCUGGGGCUGUAGUCGGUCCCAAGGGUUGGGCUGUUCGCCCAUUAAAGCGGUACGCGAGCUGGGUUCAGAACGUCGUGAGACAGUUCGGUCCCUAUCCGUCGCGGGCGCAGGAAAUUUGAGAGGCGCUGUCCUUAGUACGAGAGGACCGGGAUGGACACACCGCUGGUGUACCAGUUGUUCCGCCAGGGGCAUCGCUGGGUAGCUAUGUGUGGCCGGGAUAAGUGCUGAAAGCAUCUAAGCACGAAGCCCCCCUCAAGAUGAGAUUUCCCAUUGCGCAAGCAAGUAAGAUCCCUCAAAGACGAUGAGGUAGAUAGGUUCGGGGUGGAAGCGUGGCGACACGUGCAGCUGACGAAUACUAAUCGAUCGAGGACUUAACCA
rnacentral:rRNA from 1 species